UCCGGUUUGUCACCGGCAGUCUCAUUAAAGUGCCCAACUUAAUGAUGGCAAUUAAUGACAAGGGUUGCGCUCGUUGCGGGACUUAACCCAACAUCUCACGACACGAGCUGACGACAGCCAUGCAGCACCUGUGUAUACAUUCUCUUGCGAGCACUCCCAUAUCUCUACAGGAUCUGUACCAUGUCAAGGGUAGGUAAGGUUUUUCGCGUUGCAUCGAAUUAAUCCACAUCAUCCACCGCUUGUGCGGGUCCCCGUCAAUUCCUUUGAGUUUUAAUCUUGCGACCGUACUCCCCAGGCGGUCAACUUCACGCGUUAGCUGCGUUACCAAGACAAUUAAGUCCCGACAACUAGUUGACAUCGUUUAGGGCGUGGACUAC
rnacentral:misc_RNA from 1 species